GCGAAUUACAGUAGCCAGUGUACAUAUCCUGUCGAACGACACUUCCGUUAAUUGUAUUAUGACGUACUUGUACUGAUUGAGAUUUUAACACGAAGUGAGUGGCGAACGGGUGAGUAACACGUGGGUAACCUGCCCAGAAGUAGGGGAUAACACCUGGAAACAGAUGCUAAUACCGUAUAACAGAGAAAACCGCAUGGUUUUCUUUUAAAAGAUGGCUCUGCUAUCACUUCUGGAUGGACCCGCGGCGUAUUAGCUAGUUGGUGAGGUAAAGGCUCACCAAGGCAGUGAUACGUAGCCGACCUGAGAGGGUAAUCGGCCACAUUGGGACUGAGACACGGCCCAGACUCCUACGGGAGGCAGCAGUAGGGAAUCUUCCACAAUGGACGCAAGUCUGAUGGAGCAACGCCGCGUGAGUGAAGAAGGGUUUCGGCUCGUAAAGCUCUGUUGUUAAAGAAGAACGUGGGUAAGAGUAACUGUUUACCCAGUGACGGUAUUUAACCAGAAAGCCACGGCUAACUACGUGCCAGCAGCCGCGGUAAUACGUAGGUGGCAAGCGUUAUCCGGAUUUAUUGGGCGUAAAGCGAGCGCAGGCGGUCUUUUAAGUCUAAUGUGAAAGCCUUCGGCUCAACCGAAGAAGUGCAUUGGAAACUGGGAGACUUGAGUGCAGAAGAGGACAGUGGAACUCCAUGUGUAGCGGUGAAAUGCGUAGAUAUAUGGAAGAACACCAGUGGCGAAGGCGGCUGUCUGGUCUGCAACUGACGCUGAGGCUCGAAAGCAUGGGUAGCGAACAGGAUUAGAUACCCUGGUAGUCCAUGCCGUAAACGAUGAUUACUAAGUGUUGGAGGGUUUCCGCCCUUCAGUGCUGCAGCUAACGCAUUAAGUAAUCCGCCUGGGGAGUACGACCGCAAGGUUGAAACUCAAAAGAAUUGACGGGGGCCCGCACAAGCGGUGGAGCAUGUGGUUUAAUUCGAAGCUACGCGAAGAACCUUACCAGGUCUUGACAUCUUCUGACAGUCUAAGAGAUUAGAGGUUCCCUUCGGGGACAGAAUGACAGGUGGUGCAUGGUUGUCGUCAGCUCGUGUCGUGAGAUGUUGGGUUAAGUCCCGCAACGAGCGCAACCCUUAUUACUAGUUGCCAGCAUUAAGUUGGGCACUCUAGUGAGACUGCCGGUGACAAACCGAAGGAAGGUGGGGACGACGUCAAAUCAUCAUGCCCCUUAUGACCUGGGCUACCACCUGGCUACAAUGGAAUGGUACAACGAAUCCCGAGAACCGCGAGGUUAAGCUAAUCUCUUAAAACCUUCUCCAUUUCGGAAUGUAGGGUGGAAUUCGCCUAACCAAAAUCGAAAAUCCUAAUAAUCCGGAAUAAAUUGCCCGGGGGAAAAAUUUCCCGGGCUUGUACCCCCCCCCCCCACCCCUCGAAGAUGUUUACCCCACAACGCCGUGGGGGUACCUUUUAGAAUAACCCCCUAGGGGGGCGAAAGAUUAAGUGAAGGCCCAAGGCUAAGCCCCAAACCGGCCGGGUCGGCGGCUCCUUUCUGUGUAGAUUUAUCCAAGGAAGGGUUUUUGUGUUAAUACCCUUUAAAAUCAAAAUCCUUAACCCUAAAUUAACCGCCCUUAACCCUAACCUUAAGCCCUCCCCUAAACACUU
rnacentral:rRNA from 1 species